rnacentral:rRNA from 1 species
CACAUGCAAGUAUCAGCACCCCCGUGAGAACGCCCUUCAAACCUUCUUAGGCCAAGGAGCCGGUAUCAGGCACAUAAACUUGCCCACUACACCUAGUCUCACCACACCCCCAAUGGUACCCAGCAGUGAUAAACAUUGUCUAUAAGCGCCAGCUUGAAUCAGUUAAAGAGAAGAGAGUCGGCCAACCCGGUGCCAGCCGCCGCGGCUACACCAUCGGACUCAAGUUGAUAACUAACGGCGUUAAGUGUGGCAAAAGGUAAAUAAAAUUAGAAUUAAACUUAGGCUUAGCUGUAAAAAACUUGCCCCAAGAGACCCAUAAUCGAAAGUUAUCCUAAUUCACUUACUCCACGACAAUUUGGAACCAAACUGGGAUUAGUAGAUACCCCACUAUG